CUCUGGAAGGGCUGAGCCAUCUCUCCAGCCCGGUGGCUUGAGUUUUUAAUAGUCAGGGCUCCACAAUCUAUACCCUCCAAGCCUUUGACCCAGCCUCAGAAGUUUGCUCUCAAGGGCUCCAAAUAAAAAACCGCAGGAGGCCUCUCCACAGCAGGAACCACGACUGACCCAGACUUCCAGCAGAGUUGGAAUAGGAAACUGCAGGAUCCUGUGUGCCUCUCGCUCUGAGCAUGCACAAGGCCACGUGCACCUUUAGCUGCUCUUCUCAGAUCUUGGAGGAAGACCUCUAGAGAAGACACGUAGUUGUCUCCCUUUCUUCUCUUCCAGCCCGGCUGAUGUAACCAAGAUGAUCCUGAAAGAUUGAGGAAGACUGGAAGUGAGACCCAAACUCUUCUCCUGGCUCCCACUCUUCAGAAAGGACGAACCUUCCACCUUUAUCUGGGAAGAAGAGAAAGGACGACUCUAGCAACACUAUUCCUUUUAGAUACCUAAAGUGGGAGGAACCUCUGAGGCCAGCAGUAGGAUGAGACAAGCCCUGCCUUAGGGAGGAGAGGGUUCAGGGCUUAUGUAGCCCCUGCGCGAUGUCCUCCAUUAGCUGCUUUCUUCACUGCCACUCAAGGGAAGAAGGCAUCAUGUUGGCUCACCGUUGCAGAGGGGACAGUCUGUAGANGAGAAAAACCCAGUGGCAGCAUGUGAGGUGGUCACAUUGUGUCAGCAGUCAGGAAGCAGAGAGAGGUGAUGGCUGGUACUCAGCUCAGCACAUGGAAAGUGCUGC